rnacentral:rRNA from 1 species
AACGAACGCUGGCGGCGUGGUUAAGGCAUGCAAGUCGAGCGAGAAAGUCACCUUCGGGUGGCGAGUACAGCGGCGAAAGGGUGAGGAAUGCUUGGAUAACCUGCCCUCGAGCGGGGGAUAGCCCACCGAAAGGUGGAUUAAUACCGCUUACGAUCCGGUUGGGGCAUCUCAGCCGGAUGAAAGGAGGCGUCCUUCGGGGCGUUUUCACUCGAGGAGGGGUCCAAGUCGUAUCAGCUUGUUGGUAGGGUAACGGCCUACCAAGGCUACGACGCGUAUGGGGCCUGAGAGGGUGAUCCCACACACUGGGACUGAGACACUGCCCAGACUCCUACGGGAGGCUGCAGUCGAGAAUCUUUGGCAAUGGACGAAAGUCUGACCAAGCGACGCCGCGUGGAGGACGAAGGCCUUCGGGUUGUAAACUCCUGUCAGGGGGCAAGAAUAAGCGCGU